AACGCGAAGAACCUUACCUGGGCUUGACAUCUAGGGAACCCUGUGGAAACACGGGGGUGCCUUCGGGAACCCUAAGACAGGUGGUGCACGGUUGUCGUCAGCUCGUGUCGUGAGAUGUUGGGUUAAGUCCCGCAACGAGCGCAACCCUCGUUGUCUGUUGCUACAGGCUGUAAAGUGCUGAGCACUCAGGCGAGACUGCCGGUGACAAACCGGAGGAAGGUGGGGAUGACGUCAAAUCAUCAUGCCCCUUAUGUCCAGGGCUACACACGUGUUACAAUGGGAUAGGACAACGGGCAGCAAGCUGGCAACAGCAAGCUAAUCCCUUAAACCUACCCUCAGUUCGGAUUGGAGUCUGCAACUCGACUCCAUGAAGUCGGAAUCGCUAGUAAACGCGGAUCAGCCAUGCCGCGUUGAAUACGUUCCCGGGCCUUGUACACACCGUGUCGA
rnacentral:rRNA from 1 species